rnacentral:rRNA from 1 species
CCUACGGGUGGCAGCAGUAGGGAAUAUUGCUCAAUGGGGGAAACCCUGAAGCAGCAACGCCGCGUGGAGGAUGAAGGUUUUCGGAUUGUAAACUUCUUUUGUUAGAGAAGAUAAUGACGGUAUCUAACGAAUAAGCACCGGCUAACUCCGUGCCAGCAGCCGCGGUAAUACGGAGGGUGCAAGCGUUACUCGGAAUUACUGGGCGUAAAGGGCGCGUAGGCGGGAUAGCAAGUCAGAUGUGAAAUCCUAUGGCUUAACCAUAGUACUGCAUUUGAAACUGUUUUUCUGGAGUAUGGGAGAGGUAGGUGGAAUUCUUGGUGUAGCGGUAAAAUCCGUAGAGAUCAAGAGGAAUACUCAUGGCGAAGGCGGCCUGCUGGAACGUAACUGACGCUGAGGCGCGAAAGCGUGGGGAGCAAACAGGAUUAGAUACCCCAGUAGUC